CGGUAGCGGGAGGGCUCGGGCUAGUGGCCGCGCUCUGUUCACAGAUGACUGUAAUCUCUGAGUUAGGAAAUUCAUCUCCUAGGCUCGAUUAAGCAUGUACGUGGAACAAUAAUUGUGUUUCUUUCUGACUUCAAGAUACUGAAGUGAUGCAGUAUCCUGAAGUAAUGACACCAUGUACGUUGGAAGGGAGUUCUGCCUUGCCUGUAGCUCUCUGCUGCCCGGAGACCUUGUCUGUUUUUAGAGUUUUUUUCUUUUAAAGGGCGUUUUGUUGGGGCCAGCAAUACGUUCUCUCAAACUGCCGCGACAGCCCCGUGCUGACUCGCAGCCGGGGGGAGCUGGCCUGCAGCCCCGGGGCUCCCAGAUGAAGGACUGCGGACUUGCAGCUUCCUGCACGUGGAAGAUGGGAGAGGUCUGGCCUUGCCUUUCCAGAGUUGGCUUCUCGCUACAAAUUCUUCUCUCCUACCUAUUCCCAAACCUUCACAGCACAGGCUGACAGUUAUAUCAUCAGAAUUCCUGCAUAUGGCAAACUACAGAUGGUAAGGAAUUGUUUUAUCAUAAAGAUAGCGCACAGUUUGGCAACACCAUUUUGUAACAUGGCUCUUUGACUGUGCCUAGGCUUCCCUGGGGGUUUGUGUACCUGAAGUGAAGUAUACUGAGCUGUUUUCAGGAUGUCACUAAGGUACCCAGCUAUACAGAAUUCUGUUCUGGCAGCAGCAUCUGCAGUGUUCUCCUUUUAGUUUCCAGUUUCUAUAAGCUCCCGAGCCACUGUGGAGAAAAGCACUUAUUCACUUUCAGAACAAAAUAUGAUCUCUGUGCUAACAGGUUGGAAACAGACAGGGGGCAUUUCUGCAGGAGUAAACAGCUGUUUAACUGCAAAUUACUCCCUGCAGAUGCCAGUAAAGUUCUGGAAAAUUCUUGGAAAAGUUUAAAUUUCAGAGUAGCGUCCCAGCUACGCAGGAACUCCUUAAAGGUCAGAACUGCUCAAGGGAUUUUGACAAGGUAUCCCUCAUGAUUACUUUUUCAUAAAUCUGUAGGGUUUUGAAGAAAAAUGUAUUCCCCCUCUUCCCUCAACAACCUUUUCCUCUGGUGUGCAUAAAUAAUUUAUUAUUCCCUGGUUGCUCUUGCAUCAGUACUAACAUUCCUGACGAUUAAAAAACGUGAUGUUACCAGAGGAAAAAUACAGAAGCAACAACAUUGUGAACUGAGUAAAUGUUCACAAUUUUGAUGAGGAAUGCAAGCAAUCUGAAGGAAAUACGUUGUUUUAAAACAACGUAUAAUACAGUCAAACCUCUGAGUAGUGUUCUCAUGAGACAAAAAGGAAAUACCUAUAUUGAAAAGAGAUACCCCUCCCUGCAGUUUUUAAUUUCCAGGUUUAAAAUAGAAAGGUUUGAGCUUCUCAAAGAGCCUUAUAUAUGUAUAAAGGUUUUUGUUAUGCAUAGGAACAAAAACUACAUAUGCUGUUGGUCAAUUUAACUGUGUUGCUGGUUCCUAUCUACCGUACUUAUAUGGCUCCCAUUAAUACACUCUCCAGGUGCCUCAUAGCCUAAUGUAGUAAUCCUUACAAUACCUUUUUGUUAAAAGUAAAAUGAUGAUUUAAAAAUAAUAAUUUUAAAUUUAAAAUACUGUCAUAAUUAAAUGUCUAACUGUUAUCCCUAUGCUGAUCUUAAGCGUGUAAUCCAUUUAAC